CCUACGGGAGGCAGCAGUGAGGCAUAUUGGUCAAUGGGCGAGAGUCUGAACCAGCCACGUAGCGUGAGGGAAGACUGCCCUCGGGUUUGUAAACUUCUUUUAUAUGGGAGUAAAACGUUCCACGUGUGGGAUUUUGUAUGGACAAUAUUGAUCAGGAUCGGCUAACUUCGUGCCAGCAGCCACGGUACUACGGAGGGUCCGAGCGUUAUCCGGAUUUAUUGGGUUUAAAGGGUGAGUAGGUGGACUGUUAAGUCAGGUGUGAAAGUUGGCGGCUUAACCGUAAAAUUGGAGUUGAAACUGGCAGGCGUGAGUACAGUAGAGGUGGGCGGAAUUCGUGGUGGAGCGGUGAAAUGCUUAGAUAUCACGAAGAACGCCGAUGGCGAAGGCAGUCCACUGGACUGUAACUGACACUGAGGCUCGAAAGUGUGGGUAUCAAACAGGAUUAGAUACCCCGGUAGUC
rnacentral:rRNA from 1 species